UACGGAGGGUGCAAGCGUUAUCCGGAUUCACUGGGUUUAAAGGGUGCGUAGGUGGGCAAGUAAGUCAGUGGUGAAAUCUCCGGGCUUAACCCGGAAACUGCCAUUGAUACUAUUUGUCUUGAAUACUGUGGAGGUCAGCGGAAUAUGUCAUGUAGCGGUGAAAUGCUUAGAUAUGACAUAGAACACCCAUUGCGAAGGCAGCUAACUACACGAUCAUUGACACUGAGGCACGAAAGCGUGGGGAGCAAACAGG
rnacentral:rRNA from 1 species